rnacentral:rRNA from 1 species
AGCGAACGCUGGCGGCAGGCCUAACACAUGCAAGUCGAACGAAGUCUUCGGACUUAGUGGCGGACGGGUGAGUAACACGUGGGAACGUGCCUUUAGGUUCGGAAUAACUCAGGGAAACUUGUGCUAAUACCGAAUGUGCCCUUCGGGGGAAAGAUUUAUCGCCUUUAGAGCGGCCCGCGUCUGAUUAGCUAGUCGGUGAGGUAAAGGCUCACCAAGGCGACGAUCAGUAGCUGGUCUGAGAGGAUGAUCAGCCACAUUGGGACUGAGACACGGCCCAAACUCCUACGGGAGGCAGCAGUGGGGAAUCUUGCGCAAUGGGCGAAAGCCUGACGCAGCCAUGCCGCGUGAAUGAUGAAGGUCUUAGGAUUGUAAAUUCUUUCACCGGGGACGAUAAUGACGGUACCCGGAGAAGAAGCCCCGGCUAACUUCGUGCCAGCCGCCGCAGUAACAC